GUGGUGAACUUUAUGUUAAAUAAGUGAACGGCAGAAGUAUACGUUUUAAUUAGGUCAACAUAUAUCUAUGUUUGGUCACACAGCGCGAAUAGUAAUUGAUCAAAUUCGUGGGCGUUCCUACGAGGUGAUAUUAGAACUCAUGCCUUAUUGAGCAUGUUGUCCCAUUUUUAAAUUAGUUUAUUUUGCAGCAGCACUUAUCAGUUCCAAUAUGGGUUCGAAUGAAGCAAGUUCGGUGAUUAGUAUAACAAAAUUAGUGUACAUCGCUUAUUAUCACAAGAACAAUUUGGGAUGUCAAACCUGUUAGAUACCUCUAUUAAGAAAAGAUUGUCGGGCCAUGGAUCUCCUCUAGUUUUGCCCAUGCAUAUAUACUUGUAAAACCCUGAUCAAUCCCUUAUCACAGGGUAUGUAAUUGGUGAGUUUCAUAAGGUGAAUGAAUGGAAUGUUCUACUGAGAUUACAGUGUCAAGAUUGAAUGGUUGCCUUAUUUGGUUUAGUUCUGUUGUUUGUUGA
rnacentral:lncRNA from 1 species